AUAUAGCUCUCUCUAUUGGUUAUUUAAAGGAGAUCAACUCCAGAGAGCCUUGGACUGUUGACAGACAUGAGGAACAGGAGACAUAGAUAGACUCUUAUCCCUCUCUUUGGCUAGUGUUCAGUAACAAAUUAUUAUCAAACUUCUGUGCUCAUAAACUGUACAGUAACUACUGUUUUUAUAUAGAGCAACAAAUACACUGUCCACGGUAUUGUCUCUCUCCUGGCAAAGUAUACAUGUCACUGAUGUCAGUGUAAGGAGGAUAUACAGUACUUGUAAUUUAAGACAAGAUAAUCCUCUUAUCUGGUCUUCUGUGGGGACAUUUUGAAUGAAAGCGCAGUGGCUGGGUUUGGCCUCUGUAACCUGUUGGUUCAUCAAGAUAGACAAUUAAUGAAUUAAGUAUAUUAAUUAAAUCUCAAGAAUAGGAUUUGUAGCAUGAUGUAAUAUUCUGAGUGCAAUGAGUUGUAACUUCAGUUGUUUCAGGUAAAGGGAGAGAGCAUCCUCAACUCUUAUUAUCUUGCAUUAACAAAUGAAAGUGGUUUUUGAAGUUGGAACCAAAAAUAGGUCAACUAUUCCUUGAGUAGUACUUUGUCUCUUAUUGAGUUACAGUGGCAUCUUACUUCUUCACCUUCAGGUAGUAGCAGCAGUCAACUACAGGCCUCAAUGGCCAGAUGAACUUCAACUCUGUCAGGGUGACAUCAUCCAAGUUCUCUUCAGAGAUGAGCCGUCGUGGUGGUUCGGGCGUCUACAGAACGGGGCAGAGGGGUACUUUCCAACCGCAUGUGUGACCAGACUGAACCAGAGUGAUGAUCAUGGGCCAGUGAAUGCCAAUCCAAGCUCGUUACAGAGUUCAUCCAAGGAUGCAGCUCCUGAUGCCCCCUGUGGCUGCACAAGCGGUCGUAGUACUCCAAAGGUCCCCAGGCAUGAGAAAGAGAGCUUCUUCCGUGCCCUGGGACACGAGGCUUCCUCAAAGUCAGGCUCAGCCCACAGCUCCCCUAGCCUGUUGCACCGUGUGCUGUCCAAGGGCCACCGGAGGAAGAUUGACGCCCAGGGACUGGGAGAUGUAAAUUGCUCCAUCAAUGUAGCAUUCGAACCUGACUGAUUGUUUAUCUCUAAGAAUUGUAUCAUGUAUGUGCAGCCCUUUAUUCUGUGUUAGUUUCCAUGGCUGUUAGGUUCAUCAAAACACAAACUUCACAAAACUGGAGCUAUUAUAGCUGUCAUAUUUUGGGGUAAUAGUGAAAUAUCAAUCAUAAGCGUGUGACAUGUUGCACUACUUGUUCUGGAGUAUGUUGUUUAUCCUCUAUUCACCAUUGAGAUUAAUGGAGUACAGCAAAGUACAUGUUCUGUCCGUCUUCUCUACUGUUAAUAGCCAACUGUGAUCCCUUAUUUGUUAGCUGUUUUUACCCCAUUGUUAUUUGCACUGUUGCUUCACUUUAAUUUGUACAUAUUGUAUAUAUUAUAUUUGAACAAAAUACAUUGUAAUGUUACAUCA